rnacentral:rRNA from 1 species
GAUCUGGUUCAGGAUGAACGCUAGCUACAGGCUUAACACAUGCAAGUCGAGGGGCAUCAUGAUCAAAGCUUGCUUUGAUUGAUGGCGACCGGCGCACGGGUGAGUAACGCGUAUCCAACCUUCCCCCUAGUAGGGCAUAGCCCGGCGAAAGUCGGAUUAAUACCCUAUGUUUUCCAAUGAGGACAUCUGAGCUGGAACAAAGAUUCAUCGCUAGGGGAUGGGGAUGCGUCCGAUUAGCUUGCCGGCGGGGUAACGGCCCACCGGGGCGACGAUCGGUAGGGGUUCUGAGAGGAAGGUCCCCCACACUGGUACUGAGACACGGACCAGACUCCUACGGGAGGCAGCAGUGAGGAAUAUUGGUCAAUGGGCGCGAGCCUGAACCAGCCAAGUAGCGUGCAGGAGGACGGCCCUAUGGGUUGUAAACUGCUUUUAUGCGGGGAUAAAGUUCACCACGUGUGGUGUUUUGCAGGUACCGCAUGAAUAAGGACCGGCUAAUUCCGUGCCAGCAGCGGC